UACCAGCACCCCCGAGUGGUCGGGACGAUUAUUGGGCCUAAAGCAUCCGUAGCCGGUUCUGCAAGUCCUCCGUUAAAUCCAGCUGCUCAACAGAUGGGCCGCGGAGGAUACUACAGAGCUAGGAGGCAGGAGAGGCAAGCGGUACUCAGUGGGUAGGGGUAAAAUCCGUUGAUCCAUUGAAGACCACCAGUGGCGAAGGCGGCUUGCCAGAAUGCGCUCGACGGUGAGGGAUGAAAGCUGGGGAG
rnacentral:rRNA from 1 species